AAUCUUUCUCCUCCCUUCUUUGUGGUUCCUGAACUGAUAAAAAUGAGCUGCAUUUGCUUACUUUAUUGGAAUACAGUCCUCCCAUAACAAGACUAAGUGAAAGAGAACAUGUUUUCCAGGGGAAGAAAGCAUGGACUACGGCGGAGCUAAACAACAUUUACCAGCCUACCACAGAGUUAUGGGGGAGAAGGUUAUAUGACCAAGAUUUAGACAACAAAAAGUGAUCAGAAGGAGGAAGUCAAGGAAAGAAAGACAAAGGAAAACAAAAAAACAAAGCCAAGUAGAUUUCUCCAUACAUCUCUGCAAAACUUAUUGUUUAAGACCAUCAUGAAGAUAUUUCAUCACUUAGCGAGAGUCAUCGGGA
rnacentral:lncRNA from 10 species